rnacentral:rRNA from 1 species
CGUCCCGCCGGCGACCGGCGCACGGGUGAGUAACACGUAUGCAACCUGGCCGCCACAGGGGGAUAACCCGCGGAAACGCGGCCUAAUACCCCGUGACGCCACCGGAGGGCAUCCUCCGGUGGCCAAAGGAGCGAUCCGGUGGCGGAUGGGCAUGCGGCGCAUUAGCUAGUUGGCGGGGUAACGGCCCACCAAGGCGACGAUGCGUAGGGGUUCUGAGAGGAAGGUCCCCCACACUGGUACUGAGACACGGACCAGACUCCUACGGGAGGCAGCAG